ACUACACAAUAAUCGUGUGGGUGAGACCUGCGUUCAGGUUCGAGCCGAGCGAAGCGAGACAGCAACGCGCAGCGUUGACCCGGAGGACGAGUCAUCCCGCACGACCCACCA
rnacentral:sRNA from 1 species